UUUUCUUUUCUGCUUCCCAGGAACCGGGCUAAAAAUCUCAGAAGGGGGUUUCGCAUUGACUUAUUCGCGGACUCGAACAUCAUAGGUUCAUUUUAAGGUACAAGUUUUGACCAAGAAACUAAAUGGUGUGAGACCUGAAUAAGGCUUGACACUUGGAGUGUGAAACUGCUCUAAAGGGAAGUCAGUUUACCACCAUGAUGUGGCCUUUCAGAAAAGCUCUUGAAACUUAUUUCAGCUGUUGGGCUGAAAGAUACUGACCACCUUGGGUUUACAGCAGUGAUUCUCAACUUUUUAUAUCGUAUGUCCCAUCAGGAAUUUCACCCAAGACGACGGCAGAAACAAAAAGCCCAGUUCUUUGAAGAUUUAUAUAUGUAUUACAGGUAUUCUAUUAUAUAUAUUGCUUACU